GAGUCUUUUUCUUGUUUGAACAUUUUGUAUUUUGUAGGGAUGGAGAUCCUUUUGCAAAGACCCAGCUUGCAUAGUUGGUGACUCACACCACUUAUGACUCCAGCUGCAGAGCAUCCCAUGACUGAGGGCAAGGUACUCACGUGCACGUAAGCCAGUAUGGACGCACACACAUAAUUAAGAGAAAGAUUGAACCUGAGCCUCGCCAGUGUGAAACAGGAGCCCACCACCCAGAUGCACCUUUCAAUCUUUUAUUUCACAGCUGAUCUUAGCCAAGGCGUACAAUAUACUUCUUUUCUACAUUAA